rnacentral:rRNA from 1 species
CGGGUACGGGUUGUGAGAGCAAGAGCCCGGAGAUGGAUUCUGAGACAUGAAUCCAGGCCCUACGGGGCGCAGCAGGCGCGAAAACUUUACAAUGCGGGAAACCGCGAUAAGGGGACACUGAGUGCCAGCAUCUUAUGUUGGCUGCCCGCAUGUUUAAAACGCAUGUGUUAGCAAGGGCUGGGCAAGACCGGUGCCAGCCGCCGCGGUAACACCGGCAGCCCGAGUGGUGAUCACUAUUAUUGGGUCUAAAGGGUCCGUAGCCGGUCGGAUAAGUCUCUUGGGAAAUCCAGCAGCUUAACUGUUGGGCUUUCAGGAGAUACUGUCUGGCUCGAGGCCGGGAGAGGUGAGAGGUACUUCAGGGGUAGGGGUGAAAUCUUGUAAUCCUUGAAGGACCACCAGUGGCGAAGGCGUCUCACCAGAACGGACCUGACGGCAAGGGACGAAAGCUAGGGGCACGAACCGGAUUAGAUACCCGGGUAGUCCUAGCCGUAAACGAUACUCGCUAGGUGUCGGCCACGGUGCGACCGUUGUCGGUGCCGUAGGGAAGCCGUGAAGCGAGCCACCUGGGAAGUACGGCCGCAAGGCUGAAACUUAAAGGAAUUGGCGGG